AGGCCAUCUCUAGAUGAAAUUAAUCGCGAUCUUUAAAAGUUUACUAAACUUUUAUAUAAUUCUCGUGAUAUGAGUUGCUGUAUGUAUAUAUAUAUAUAUAGAGCUAAGCUGGUAUAUUAUCGGUAGCACGGAGGCCUCCGUGCUACCAAGUUGUUUUCAAUGAUGCGGCUUCUAAAUCGACGAUCGGCUCCGUUAGACUUGAUCUACAUUAUUGAAAGUAUUUGGAAACUAAAUUUCAUGAUUUUUCGGCGUCAUUUACCAAUCAAACGAGUAGUUUAAAAAUGAACGGCUGAAAAUAAAAAUCUCAUAAAAAAUAAUGAUAAAGAAUUCAAAUUUCAAAUCGGAAGUAUUGGUCUUGCUAUUGAUGUUAAGUAGAAAUUUCUAUUAAAUUUUCAUCUAAUUUGGAUACUUCUAUACCGUUGAACUUAAAAACGCAUCAUAUCUACCAUUAAAAUUGUUAAUUUUGGAACCUUUUGAUCACUAGCCGAAUGAUGUCGAAAAAUUAUUAGUUUCCAAAUACUUUUAAUAGUGUAGAUCAAGUCUAAUAGAGCCGAUCGUCGAUUUGAAAGCCGCAUAAUU
rnacentral:lncRNA from 1 species